CAUAAACAACAAUGGCGUCACUCACGCUAGAAUUAUACAGCCGAUAAGUUUAAUACAAAAUUGUCCGCUUACAGAAAAACCACGCAGCAUCGUCAAGAAAACUAUGAUUGAAAUCUUCGAAAUCUCUUAAUUUAGAUGAUUAAUUGAAUCUUAAUUAGUGUUUAUAGUCAUUGAAAUCGAUUAAAAUGGACUUCAAAUAUCUGGGGGAGGAACAUUUAACCGGAUUUGAAAAGUAUAAGAGAUGCCGCGCUAAACCGAUGUGUCAUGUGACGUUACAGUUCGGAAAGACUCGAUUAUGAAACGCAUGCGCAGGACAUAUUUCAAUUGUCUUUCACCAUUGAAACACGAUCACUUGAAAAAGGAAUUACAAUCAUUCAUACCGAAAAAAGACACCAUUGUUUUCUCAAUAUUUGCAGUGGAGAAUUUUGUAUUGCAGUUGGUGGCAGUCUAGAACUAUAACGGAACAGUUGAACACUUUGAAACAUAAGCAAUCAUGAGAUGAAUCAGCUUUCAUUAGUAACAAAGUAAAAUAAUUUUUUUUGAAACUUGUAAUUAUUUUAAAGAU